CUAACCCUAAUCUGAGAAGGGUGUAGGCGUCCUCGCCCAGUUUCUGUUGCCAACUUUCACUGGGUGAGACAGCCUCAGCUACUGUCCUCCAGCCUGGAGUAAAGAAAACAUGUCACCCUG
ensembl:misc_RNA Telomerase-vert Vertebrate telomerase RNA